rnacentral:rRNA from 1 species
AGUCACUGACAUUAGAUACCCCCGUAGUCCAGGGUGUAAACGCUGCGGGCUUGGUGUUGGGGGUCCUUUGAGGGCGCCCAGUGCCGGAGAGAAGUUGUUAAGCCUGCUGCUUGGGGAGUACGUCCGCAAGGAUGAAACUUAAAGGAAUUGGCGGGGGAGCACCGCAACGGGUGGAGCUUGCGGUUUAAUUGGAUUCAACGCCGGAAAUCUUACCGGGACCGACAGCAACAUGAAGGCCAAGCUGAAGACUUUGCCGGAUUAGCUG